rnacentral:rRNA from 1 species
ACACUCCUACGGGAGGCAGCAGUGGGGAAUAUUGCACAAUGGGCGCAAGCCUGAUGCAGCCAUGCCGCGUGUAUGAAGAAGGCCUUCGGGUUGUAAAGUACUUUCAGCGGGGAGGAAGGUGUUGAGGUUGAUAACCUCAGCAAUUGACGUUACCCGCAGAAGAAGCACCGGCUAACUCCGUGCCAGCAGCCGCGGUAAUACGGAGGGUGCAAGCGUUAAUCGGAAUUACUGGGCGUAAAGCGCACGCAGGCGGUCUGUCAAGUCGGAUGUGAAAUCCCCGGGCUCAACCUGGGAACUGCAUUCGAAACUGGCAGGCUAGAGUCUUGUAGAGGGGGGUAGAAUUCCAGGUGUAGCGGUGAAAUGCGUAGAGAUCUGGAGGAAUACCGGUGGCGAAGGCGGCCCCCUGGACAAAGACUGACGCUCAGGUGCGAAAGCGUGGGGAGCAAACAGGAUUAGAAACCCUGGUAGUCCCAUGA